UUCCGGUUGAUCCUGCCGGAGGCGACCGCUUUGGGAGUUCGAUUAAGCCAUGCGAGUCGUGAGUCUUAGGGACUCGGCAUACUGCUCAGUAACACGUGGAUAACCUGCCCUAUCGUCUGGAAUAACCUCGGGAAACUGAGAAUAAGGCCGGAUAGUUCACAAUGCCUGGAACGGUUUGUGAAUCAAGGUAGGAUGGGUCUGCGGCGUAUCAGGUUGUAGGGGGUGUAAAGGACCCCCUAGCCUUCGACGCGUACGGGUGUUGGGAGACAUAGCCCGGAGAUGGAUUCUGAGACACGAAUCCAGACCCUACGGGGUGCAGCAGGCGCGAAAACUUCACACUGCAGGAAACUGUGAUGAGGGAACUCCUAGUGCAUGCACUAUGUGUAUGUAGAUCCUACUCUUAACAAGUAGAGGGAAAGGGCUGGGAAAGACCGGUGCCAGCCGCCGCGGUAAUACCGGCAGCUCAAGUGGUCGUCGCUUUUAUUGGGCCUAAAACGUCCGUAGCCUGUUUGGUAAAUCUGUGGGUAAAUCAAUCCGCUCAACGGAUUGAAUUCUGCAGAGACUGCCAGACUAGGGACCGGGAGAGGUGUGGGGUACUCGAGGGGUAGGGGUAAAAUCCUGUCAUCCUUCGAGGACCACCAGUUGCGAAGGCGCCACACUGGAACGGAUCCGACGGUCAGGGACGAAGCCUAGGGGCACGAACCGGAUUAGAUACCCGGGUAGUCCUAGGUGUAAGCGCUGUGGAUUUGGUGUGUGGGGUCCGCAAUGGGCCCCAUGUGCCGGAGUGAAGAUGUUAAAUCCACUGCCUGGGGAGUACGGUCGCAAGGCUGAAACUUAAAGGAAUUGGCGGGGCAGCAC
rnacentral:rRNA from 1 species